rnacentral:rRNA from 1 species
GUAGGUGGCGAGCGUUGUCCGGAUUUAUUGGGUUUAAAGGGUGCGUAGGCGGCCCUGUAAGUCAGUGCUGAAAUAUCCCAGCUUAACUGGGAGGGUGGCAUUGAUACUGUGGGGCUAGAGUACAGAUGAGGUAGGCGGAAUUGACGGUGUAGCGGUGAAAUGCUUAGAUAUCGUCAAGAACACCUAUAGCGAAGGCAGCUUACUAGGCUGUAACUGACGCUGAGGCACGAAAGUGUGGGGAUCAAACAGGAUUAGAUACCCUGGUAGUCCACACUGUAAACGUUGAUUACUCGCUGUGUGCGAUAUACAGUACGCGGCCAAGCGAAAGCGCUAAGUAAUCCACCUGGGGAGUACGCCGGCAACGGUGAA